rnacentral:tRNA from 1 species
GCCAGCGUGGCAGAAUGGUUAAUGCAACGGUCUCGAAAACCGUGUCCGCAAGGAUGUCUAGGUUCAAUUCCUAGCGCUGGCG